AUCAUGUGUUCUUAUUGGUGCUAUCCGCUAGCAUACCUUAUAUCAGCGGCAUAUCUAUCCCUCUCCCAAAAAUAUAUAUAUAUAUAUAUAUAUAUUAAAGGAAAAUGCUGGGCACACUACUGCUGGAAGUCUGAAUGUCUCUCCUCCCUCCCACUGUCUUGGAAAAGUCUCCCCAACCCCUCUCAUACUGGUUCAUACUAGUCCCCCAAUGGUUUAGCUGCUAGUUGCAGGAAAGUUAGCCGUCUCUCUCUGUUUCCCCUUGAAAAAGCCUCCCCUGUCCCUCCUAUCCUCUUCUGCCCCGACUUCCGGAAAAUCAAGAAGACAGCAAGGCCCUUUGCAGUCCUUGAAGGUAAAUGCAAUGCGAGUACCGUACCAGUUGAAGGAAGGGAGACUUAUCUCUUCCAUGAGCUCCCCGCGGGAAGGGUUUCUUUCAAAAGACCCAGAUGAGGAAACAAAGAGAUUGAGAUACAUACUAUUGGUUUCUGUUCAUGGGAUGAGAAAUCACAAUAACAACGUUUACAGGUUGCUGAAAAAAGAAUAACAACAUACACAGUAAGGAUUGCAGUGUUUGUAAGGAUCCAAGAACUUCUGUCAGAUAAGGUCCUAUGUUUGGGAUUCUCUAUGAACUCCCAGUCCUAGCCUAUGGUACAGGAACCCUUCAAAUUAUGUGCUGCACAUGUGUCCAAUGCUUAGUUGAGCCAUUGAGAAUGCAUGAAAUGAAAUCUUUGCUGCAUCAAAUUUGUAUCUUUUGCUGUGUCCAGGUAACGUAGGUCCUUGCCAACGCAUCUACUAAGGUUUUUGGAUUGAGCUUCCAUUGGAACCAAGCAUUCAAUGAUGAACCCAAAGAUCUCCGCUUUUGUAUCAGAUGUUGAAAGUUUCUGAGUCCCCAGAUUGCUGCUUCCAUCCAUCUUAUACCAGUUUCUGAAUUCCUUCUAUCAAUAGUUUGUCAAUAUCCAUGUCCUUCACUGUCUCCAGGCUGCUGCAUAUAAGGGCUCUUAUGCCACUUUUACUGAGUCCAUUUUUCCAUUAUGACCAGAGAACCUAAUUCUUUACCAAAGCAGAAGCUGCCUAUUGAUGCGGAUUGAAAACCUGCCUAAUAAGAUUCUCUGGUAAUGAUAGUAGUUCCUGAAGAUGGUCUAAGCCAUGUAGAGUCUGUAACCUUUACUAUUCAUGAAAUUUGUCUCUUCUUUAUAUAUAUAUAUAUAUAUAUAUUUUAUGUUAGUUAAUUGAAUCACACUAGUAGCUCUUCUAAAACUGCUGAAUUUAGAAUGGCAUGGCUUUGCUACCUGUUCAGGGUGAAAUGAUUACACCUGCAGAGGAAUCAACUAGUUCUCUUCAGGGUUUUUAGCAUUCAUUGCUGCAAAACAGUGACGGGCACUCUUUUGAUAAAGCUUUCCCUUAUGCAUUCAGUAUUCUAAACGUUGAAGGUCUCAUGUUGGAGGUAUUGCUCUUUUUGAUUAAUUCCCAGUUCAGAACUCUGCAGUAGACACAUGCAAGUGAUAUUGCUAACUUCAUCUGGAAAGAGAUCAUGUUACCGCCUGUAUUUCUUGGACAUUAUUUGGAGGGCUUUUUGCUCAGUUGUAUAUCUAUCAUUGAUGUGCAGUUCAUGUUUCAAGUAAUGGUACUUGGCCGGUUUUUAGAGGUCAGCAAUAUGCAUGCCUUCUCUUCCUUCUUGUUUUUGUUUUAUUUGCACUUGUAUCAUCUUCUUCUUUUUAAUAGUUAGGCCCCAAGGAGAGUUGAACUCAUUACCUCUUAAUUUUUGAGGUGUUGGUCUUUGCCAACUAAGCAACCCCCUUGGCGUUUCACUUGUAUUAUCUAUUCUUCUUCUUCUUAUUCUUGUGUUCACCUUUUUGUCAUUUGUAUAGAGGGAGAAUUUGCACCCAAAACUUGUAGGAAUUGUGCUUGCAUGCUCUAUACUUCUGUGGGAAAAUAGGUGACUAACUAUGUAAUAUAUACUUUUUUUGUUAUAUUCCUUUAAUGUGAUUGACCCCUGCUAAUGGAUCUUUCCUUUAUUUUAUUUUAUUUUAUUAUUAUUAUUAUUAUUUUUAUUUUAGUGGGUUAGUCUAGCGGUAUCUCUUUUCAAAAGCCAUUGCUACUUUCAAGGUAUCAUCUUUCACUUGGAAAAGAUAUCUUAAUUUAUUUAUUUAUUUUUUCUAAACUGGUAUUUAUUACAAAGAAAGAUAAAAAUAAAGAUGAUAGCCUAUGAACUGAUGCAAAGGUAGGCAGCUAAAGCAGUUACAUUAUGGCUUUUAAUAGUAAUCUAUCCCUCCCCAUCAUACAGAUUGUCUGAAUCUAUAAAUGAUCUACUACAUUAACCCCAGAAAGCUGCAGAGAGCAUGAUGCUCAUAGGUCAAUUUCAUUUUUCUUUCCAAAUGCAACAUUGAUUGCAUAGUGGGUUAGCUCCCACACUAUUUACAGUCUUCCUAUCAAGAAGCAGUUACUCCGGGCAAACAUCAUUUCCUUCAUUGAAGGCAGCAUGAUCCACUUCCACUCUGGAUGGGUACAACAUAAAUUUCCUAAGCUGUUCUAUAAAUCACACAAUUGCGAUGUGUAAGGAUCUAGUUAUUUGAUGCUAAAAUUCAGUAGAACAGGGGCAGGCUGCCUGCUCAACCAAUGACUGUACAAUUGGAAGGUCAUAAGCCAACUGUCAUGGUUACUUUGUUGGGCAUGAGCCGCAUGACCCAUAAAGAAGAGUUGGGGGCAUGUGGAACUGUUCACACCUGUGACAUUUGUUGGUUUGAUAUAGAUGUCUUGGUGCUUGUUUUCGUGGUCAAGAAAAGGCUUGGACAUUUUGUGCUUGGGGAGCUUAUGUCAAGUGUGACUUGUUUCUCAGCCAUUGACACCAAUUCUGAGUUGAGUGUGCCUUUGUGGUGGGACUAGGAAUUUAAGUGGCAUUUUGUGUGUGACAUAAUUUGAUGGAAUUUUUGUAAAUAAAUUGUAUGCAUUUGUUUCCACUUUUGAAGGGCUUGGGGAUGAGGGGCAACUUCAGCUUGAUGUUCCCUUCUAGCAAAAUGCCAAGCUUCAAAGAUUCACCUUGGGGGAAUAGGUGUGCAUGUUGGCUCUGAUGUGGCCCAAAUUGCCACAUCAGUAUAUCAUUUGCUAAGGUUUAUAUGGACUGUGUUGGUUGAGGAUUUUGAGAAAUCACAACAUCUAUCCUUGAUGGAAGGAGUGGUUAUGGUGGUUAUUGAAACUGCAGUAUCUUUCUAUCUAUCUAUCUAUCUAUCUAUCUAUCUAUCUAUAUAUAUAUAUAUAUAUAUAUAUAUAUUCAACAACAACAAUAACAACAACAUAGCCGGAUUUUCUCGUGUUUUACCUCCAAGAUGAAAUAAUCAAGCAAGGAAGCCAAUCCAUUUCUACAAUACAAGUCUGAUAUCUCAAGAACGGGUACAUCUUUCUAACAUAGUGCCCGCUGUGUUUGCCCCCCCUCCCAUUGAAAUGACCCCUGCCCCUUUUAUAUGAUGCCCUGUUCCGCGCCCCCAUUAGUGCCACCUGCUAGCUUGCCACACACGGGCUGUGUGCCUAUCCCUCUCCCUUAUCUUUUAUAAUGAACUUUUCGUUUUCUCUUCUUCUGUAUAAUGCAAUAAAGUUGCAAAGGAGAAAGCUUUAUGAACAAGCUAAUGACUAUAUGAUAGCUUGUCUCCUCACAAAAUUGACUCCCCCCACCCUUAACAGAUCGGAGUGUAGGUGGAGGGUAUCACACAUCUAGCUAAUAAUUUCCCCUCGAGUCGGUAUGAUAAUUUGAGCAAAAGGAUAUGGAUGGUUUUCCAUAUAACCUUCAAUUAUCCUAUAUUUUAUUUUUUUCUAAGUUGGUAUGGAAUAUGACAGUGUCCAUCUUUUAGCUAGUAUAUAAACUCCUUACCAGAUGACACUCAGCUUGGCUGCUAAAGCUGUUGCAACAUCUUUGCCACUUUGUAAAGAAACAUUUUUCUCUGCUGAAAUGGAAAUCAUCUAGUGCAACAAUUUGUUCAGGAGGACUUUUACUUUGGGUUGUUAGGCAAUGCGUAAUAGGUAUGCAUAUCAAUGAACAAAUAAAUUACGUGGAUAAUAAGCACAGACACUCACACAUGCCACGAAGAUAUGUUAUUGUGGUAUUUUUCUAAAUGUAAAGUAGUUACCUUUCUUGCUCAUAGUUUCAGACCACUUAAGAGUCAUAUGAUUUUUUCUUACUAAUGCAAUCCUUGUCUUUUACCUUCUUAGCUUUACACCUUUUCAGCUGCUACUCAUCCGUACCCCAACUACUAGGGUUGGCUUCAUAGAUCCAGUUUUGCCAUUCAACCUAUUCAAAGCAUACUUGUUCUCACCCCUAAUUCAUGCAUGUCUUUUUCUCACAACUUAUUCCAAAGUCAUUUUAGGCCUGCCUCUUGCUCUAUUAAUUCCACUCUUCCUUAUUGAUGUAAAUUGUGUUCACAGUUUUCGUAAAAAUAAAUGCCAUGGUUGCUUAUUAUUUUCCACUUCAUUGCAUGAUGCUACAUAGAGUGCGGACAUCAUAAGAAUGAACCGAGUCACUUAUUACGAAACUUUAAGAAUGCAACAAGUGGCCAUUUGCUAGGGUCUGACCACUGGAUGCUCAAUGCCUUGGUGUAGCAGCAAUAUUUUAUGUGAUGCACCCAGUUUGUGUUGAAGGGAUUGCUCAUGAUAUGUUGUUGGAUUGUUCAUGGGAGAGUGGAGCAGAAUUUAUCUUGUCAGGACUAAACAAUCUGAAGAAGCAAAACCCUUUGCGACUCUUCCAGAGGAUUGACCUGACCAUUGUUCAUCUUUUGCUUCCACUUGUGCUGCAUCAACUUUGUCCUGCAAAGUUGUCACUUGGGGACAAAAGCACAAGAUAAAAGUUAUGGGUAUGUCAUCAUGAUAGUUGUUAUUUCUGGUAUUUAGAAUGUGUCUUGCCUGAUCCCAGUUACAAGAAAAUAUUCUGUGCUAAAACAGAGCACUUCAGACCUGAACAAGUAAAGACUUUGUUAUGGGAUCCUUUCUUUUCCAAUCAAUAUGGAACCUCAUCUAACUACAUAUUAGUGGAACAUUGACUAAGUUUUUGGAUUUGGAGCUAAUUGGUGGAUUUUGGGGUCC